rnacentral:lncRNA from 1 species
AUUGUAUAUGAUAUGAUUAAUAUAAAGUAUAUAAUGUAUAUUUAAUUAGGAAUACAAUUCAAAUUUAAACUAUAUUUCAUUACUUUAUUUGAAUAUGAUUCAAAUAUUAAACUAUUAUGAAUAAAAUAUGAAUGAGUAAUCAAUUAACUUCAUCUUGAUGAAGAGGGAAGUGGGGAGGUGGCCUCUCCCAACUCCAACAGUCACGAACAACGACACCACACCACUUGGAAAAUGAGACAGAAUUAAGGUUUAUUGUGAGAACCAUUGGAUCAACUGUGCAAUAUAACUCCCAAUUAAUUUCUUAUUCUAGUUUUUUUCAUUUCAUUUUAAUAAAUAUUAAUUUCAUUUCAAUCAUAUUCAAAUUAUAUUUCAUUCGAGAUCCCUUUAAGCAUUACUUGUAAUUAAUGUGUAGUUUUAUUAUGAGGAAAGCUAGUUAUGUUUCUAGCUUCCUAGUUGAACAAAUAGGCUUACGAAUCUAGCCACUCUCAACCAUAAAAAAUUACACUCAUAAACUGGAGUUCAUAUUAAAUUUAUAAAGUCAAUCAAUCAUGGAUGGUGUGUGGCUUUAGGGCAUAGAUCAAGGGGUUGUGUGCGUCAAUGGUAGGUUGGACAUUUUACUUCUUUGACUUCCCUUCUCAAUUCCUUAUUUCUCUUUCUAAAAAAUGCACUCCCACUACAAAGUGUCACAACCAAACAAGACUUCUUGGAAGUGUUCAUAGAAAGGUUGGGUUUUUCCUGAUUCACAGUGUCUUCCUGUCUCUUCAUUCUGUUCGUUAUUUUAAAAUUCGGGAAAAACCCAACCUGAAAUCUUUAUUAAUAAUGGACAUUUGUACUACAUGUUAUAGAAUACAUAGAGGACUGUACUACAUAUUAUAGAAUAUAUAACACAAAAUAUAUAGAGCUACAUGAAUUUACUUAAGUAAAGAAGAGUUUUCAAACGUAUUUCUCUAAUCCUAUUUUUAACACGGACUGUGAUUUGCUUAUUUUCUUUUUUCUUUUGUACCUUUUCAUCCUCCAAGAAUCAAAACAAAAACCAUAAAAAAUGGCUUCCAUUGAUUGUUGAUCCAAUCACACACAGGUCUUUAAUCUUUUACUUCUUUUCCCCAUAGAUCUAUGUUGUUUUUGUAUAAUUGAUCCUUUACAUCUAUAGGAUGUUCAAAAAUUAGAAGUUUUCAAUAUUAUAUAUAAAGAUACAUUAAAAAAAAAAACGUAUAAGAACUAAAAGGAUAUGUCCAUUUGAGUUAAAUUUAACUCAUGAAAUAUGGUAUUACAUCCCAACAAGAGAUGAUUACAAUUUUAUGGAAAGUGACAUAUGCAAUGAUGAUAACCACCUAUCUACCGUUUCCACAUGAACAUGUUUGUGUAAACAUGAAGUUCUAAACACAAUUCUUUUAAUCUCUCCAUGAAUAUAAACUAAUAUAAAGUCAGUGAAGAUCAUAUAUAAAUGAACAUAUUAUGGUAAAGCAUUAUAUCAUCAUCUUUCAGGGUUGUAAUCACAAUAAAAAUAUAGAGAUAGUUACCUUUUGGAUCAUCUAAUUCCCAUCAAAUGGUAAAGAAUUGUCAAAACUUUCGAUGUUAAUAUGCACGAUUGAGGAAGACUCUUCCCUUCAUUCGUGAUCAUUGAAUAUAACCUUGGUUGGAUUGUAGCCAUUACAACAUAUGCAUGGUCUUUAAUUAAGAUUUUAUAAAGCUAAGAAAUGAACAAACGUUCCGUUUUGUUUGCUUUUGCCUUAAGAUUUAAAACUACUUUCUAACCAAAUUUGGUAAAACAAAACAAACGGCUUGGAAGAUAAAAAGAGAGAAU